rnacentral:rRNA from 1 species
GACGAACGCUGGCGGCGUGCUUAACACAUGCAAGUCGAGCGGUAAGGCCCUUCGGGGGUACGACGAGCGGCGAACGGGUGAGUAACACGUGGGUGACCUGCCCUCAGCUCUGGGAUAAGCCUGGGAAACCGGGUCUAAUACUGGAUAUGACUCCAUGACGCAUGUUGUGGGGUGGAAAGCCUUGUGCGGCUGAGGAUGGGCCCGCGGCCUAUCAGCUUGUUGGUGGGGUGANGGCCUACCAAGGCGACGACGGGUAGCCGGCCUGAGAGGGCGACCGGCCACACUGGGACUGAGACACGGCCCAGACUCCUACGGGAGGCAGCAGUCGGGAAUCUUGCGCAAUGGGCGAAAGCCUGACGCAGCAACACCGUGU